UAGCGGAGAAGUUUCAAAAUUUUGCAUUCGUGAAAUAAGUAAUGCAGGAGUCAUGCUGGAGACGAGAAUCUCCGCAUCGAAAAAUUGUCAGUCGCGCGCAAUUUACACUGUAACAUAAUAACGCAGAUAUUCCGCAUCACUUCACGCACUAAACGGGUUUCCUUCAACUUCAUUAAGUGACGAAAGAUAAGAAUUGAACGAAGCCUUUGACAGCGUUUUUCGUGGCGCAACUGCAGUUGCAUCGUUGAAUAUUUCAGUGCGGAAACUAGUUGUGCAAGAGGCAAAAUAAAAAUUGACAAUGAACGAGGUACGUGACUGCGAUGUAUCCGUCGUUUAAUGAAUAUAAUUUACAUUUUCUACGAGCUGCCGCGACGCUGCACAAAUAGCGCCGACACGACAAGGAAACCGUUUCGAUAGCAUCUCCAGUGCGUGCUCCCAACUCCACCGUGGCGUAUAAGUAAACGCCUUGCCCACUUAGCAUAACACACAUUCAACGAAUCUUUACGGGCGUUCACUUAACAGUUCGCUCAGCUCUUGUUCUUGUUGAAAGCCGCGAUUACGACUUUCAGCCAUUACGGCGUUGACACGUAUCGCUCAAGCUCGCCGAAACGUGGUUGAAGUGCGUGCGUACAUAAUGCAU